AGAUGGAGGAGCAACAUGGCUGUGACAUCUGUCACUCGGUUGAUCACCAAGGUUGAUUCAGCUGAUCUAGCUGGCUAGGCACAUAUCCCCUCCCUCCCUCAUACUCUAUGUGUGUCCCUCCUAAAGCUGCAAGCUGUUACCAACUUCCACAGAACGAUCUAGAAACAUCGCUUGCCUAAGACAGCUAACCUCUAAAGGUAAACAAGAGUCAGCAAAG
rnacentral:snRNA from 1 species